CUACGUGUAGAGUCUUGACGGUACUGUAAGAAUAAGGAUCGGCUAACUCCGUGCCAGCAGCCGCGGUAAUACGGAGGAUCCAAGCGUUAUCCGGAAUUAUUGGGUUUAAAGGGUCCGUAGGUGGACAAUUAAGUCAGAGGUGAAAUCCUGCAGCUCAACUGUAGAAUUGCCUUUGAAACUGGUUGUCUUGAGUCAUUAUGAAGUGGUUAGAAUGUGUAGUGUAGCGGUGAAAUGCAUAGAUAUUACACAGAAUACCAAUUGCGAAGGCAGAUCACUAAUAAUGUACUGACACUGAUGGACGAAAGCGUGGGUAGCGAACAGGAUUAGAUACCCUGGUAGUCCACGCCGUAAACGAUGGUUACUAGCUGUUCGGACUUCGGUCUGAGUGGCUAAGCGAAAGUGAUAAGUAACCCACCUGGGGAGUACGUUCGCAAGAAUGAAACUCAAAGGAAUUGACGGGGGCCCGCACAAGCGGUGGAGCAUGUGGUUUAAUUCGAUGAUACGCGAGGAACCUUACCAAGACUUAAAUGUAUUUUGACAGGUUGAGAAAUCAACUUUUCUUCGGACAAUUUACAAGGUGCUGCAUGGUUGUCGUCAGCUCGUGCCGUGAGGUGUCGGGUUAAGUCCCAUAACGAGCGCAACCCCUAUUUUUAGUUACCAGCGAGUCAUGUCGGGAACUCUAGAAAGACUGCCUGUGUAAACAGUGAGGAAGGUGGGGAUGACGUCAAAUCAUCACGGCCCUUAUGUCUUGGGCUACACACGUGCUACAAUGGUCACUAC
rnacentral:rRNA from 1 species